rnacentral:rRNA from 1 species
UUGCAAAGCUUAAACUUAAAGGAAUUGACGGAAGGGCACCACCAGGAGUGGAGCCUGCGGCUUAAUUUGACUCAACACGGGGAAACUCACCCGGCCAGGACACAAUAAGGAUUGACAGAUUGAUAGCUCUUUCUUGAUUUUGUGGGUGGUGGUGCAUGGCCGUUCUUAGUUGGUGGAGCGAUUUGUCUGGUUAAUUCCGAUAACGAACGAGACUCUAGCCUAUUAAAUAGACGAAAUAUUAUUAGUUUUUCGAGCUUCUUAGAGGGACAAGCAGCUUCUAGCUGCACGAGAUUGAGCAAUAACAGGUCUGUGAUGCCCUUAGAUGUCCGGGGCUGCACGCGCGCUACAAUGAAAAUAGCAGCGUGCUUAAAUACCUUUUCUGGUAAGAAUUGGUAAACACGAAAUAUUUUC